rnacentral:rRNA from 1 species
ACUGGCAGGCUAGAGUCUUGUAGAGGGGGGUAGAAUUCCAGGUGUAGCGGUGAAAUGCGUAGAGAUCUGGAGGAAUACCGGUGGCGAAGGCGGCCCCCUGGACAAAGACUGACGCUCAGGUGCGAAAGCGUGGGGAGCAAACAGGAUUAGAUACCCUGGUAGUCCACGCCGUAAACGAUGUCGAUUUGGAGGUUGUGCCCUUGAGGCGUGGCUUCCGGAGCUAACGCGUUAAAUCGACCGCCUGGGGAGUACGGCCGCAAGGUUAAAACUCAAAUGAAUUGACGGGGGCCCGCACAAGCGGUGGAGCAUGUGGUUUAAUUCGAUGCAACGCGAAGAACCUUACCUGGUCUUGACAUCCACAGAACUUUCCAGAGAUGGAUUGGUGCCUUCGGGAACUGUGAGACAGGUGCUGCAUGGCUGUCGUCAGCUCGUGUUGUGAAAUGUUGGGUUAAGUCCCGCAACGAGCGCAACCCUUAUCCUUUGUUGCCAGCGGUUCGGCC